rnacentral:tRNA from 1 species
GCCACCAUAGCUCAGUUGGCCAGAGCAAUCGCUUCGUAAGCGAUGGGUCGUGGGUUCGACUCCCACUGGUGGCU